GACGAACGCUGGCGGCGUGCUUUACACAUGCAAGUCGAACGGUGAAGGUGGAGCUUGCUCCGCCGGAUCAGUGGCGAACGGGUGAGUAACACGUGGGCAACCUGCCCCUAACUUUGGGAUAACUACUCGAAAGAGUAGCUAAUACAGGAUACGAAGUCUGUAGGCAUCUACGGAUUUGGAAAGUUUUUCGGUGAGGGAUGGGGCCGCGGCCUAUCAGCUUGUUGGUGGGGUAGUGGCUAACCAAGGCGACGACGGGUAGCCGGCCGGAGAGGGCGACCGGCCACACUGGGACUGAGACACGGCCCAGACUCCUACGGGAGGCAGCAGUGGGGAAUAUUGCGCAAUGGGCGAAAGCCUGACGCAGCAACGCCGCGUGCGGGAUGAAGGCCUUCGGGUUGUAAACCGCUUUCAGCAGGGAAGAAGCGAAAGUGACGGUACCUGCAGAAGAAGCACCGGCUAACUACGUGCCAGCAGCCGCAGUAA
rnacentral:rRNA from 1 species